GAUGAACGCUAGCUACAGGCUUAACACAUGCAAGUCGAGGGGAAACGACAUCGAAAGCUUGCUUUUGAUGGGCGUCGACCGGCGCACGGGUGAGUAACGCGUAUCCAACCUGCCCAUCACUUGGGAAUAACCUUGCGAAAGUAAGACUAAUACCCAAUGAUAUCCCACGAAGGCAUCGGAAUGGGAUUAAAGAUUUAUCGGUGAUGGAUGGGGAUGCGUCUGAUUAGCUUGUUGGCGGGGUAACGGCCCACCAAGGCAACGAUCAGUAGGGGUUCUGAGAGGAAGGUCCCCCACAUUGGAACUGAGACACGGUCCAAACUCGUACGGGAGGCAGCAGUGAGGAAGAUUGGUCAAUGGGCGAGAGCCUGAACCAGCCAAGUAGCGUGCAGGAAGACGGCCCUAGGGGUUGUAAACUGCUUUUAUAAGGGAAUAAAGUGGGUCACGUGUGACUUUUUGCAUGUACCUUAUGAAUAAGGACCGGCUAAUUCCGUG
rnacentral:rRNA from 1 species